rnacentral:lncRNA from 1 species
AAUUUCUUAAUAAAAAAAUAAAAAUUAACAAAUCAUAAAUCAACAACACCCAUUAUAAUUAAUUUCUAAAUAAACAUUGACAUUUAUGAUUCAUCACAAGAUUCACAACAACCAUUCUGUUUAGAGAUCGGUUGGAGAGUGGAGACAAUGAUAUGGAGAAGAAAAUAAUAAGAGGGAAUGGAAGGGACCGAUCUCGAGAUCGGGAGAAGAAAGGCGAAGAAGGAGAAUGUCGAUCGACAGUCAGGUAUGGAGAGUGUAGAGGAAGAGAGGAGAGGAAGAAGACGAAACUAGACGAGACGAGACGAGACAUAACUGUGGUGUCGGUCGGCUCUCGGCUGGCUGCUGCUGUUUGGAGAAGGCAAAAAGUAUCGAAACCAUAUAGUUU